rnacentral:rRNA from 1 species
GUCAGCAGCCAUAUCUCUCAUCUUGCUACCCACUGAAGCUAAGCAGGGUUGAGCCUGGUAGGUACCUGGAUGGGGGACCUCCUGGGAAGCUAUGGUUUCCACUGGAA